GGCUAGCUGGUCUAGUGGUAUGAUUCUCGCUUUGGGUGCGAGAGGUCACGGGUUCGAUUCCCGUGCAAAGCCC
rnacentral:tRNA from 1 species